AGUCGCCGCCGCCAGCGGAGCGGCCCGGGCGGGACGCGGCGGGAGCGCGCGUGUGCGGGACGCAGCGCGGGGGAUGCGCGCGGGCCGCGGAGGCGCCGCAACCAACAGGCGGCCGAGGGUGCAGCCGCGGGAGCGCCACCGCCAGUGGGGUGGGGGGCAAAGCUAUAAAGAAGGCCCAGAGGAUUCCUGCGGAGCUGUAUUUACUUUACAUCCAUGUGAACUGCUGUCAUCACUACUGUGUCCAAGCCCAGAGGAUGAACUGGAAAAGAAGAGAGGGGGAAAAUAAUAAAAAGAGGAAAUUGGUUUUCACAACACACUCAAAGCCUGAGUAACAGAGGAGAACUUUAAUUAUCUCCAGUCACAAAGAGAGACAGGAAAUUUGGACUUUUAAUUAGCCAUUUGGAGUGCAGUUGGGUAUUUUUUUAGCUAGAUAAUUUAAACGCGAAUAAUUCAAGUCUGACUAAAUGAAAGUCACAUAAUCAGAAUGCAAAUAAUUGAAUUUCUACUGCAUUCAUUAAUUCAGUGUGGAGGUGUGUGUGAAGACUACUAUGAUGAGCUGUCACAGCUCAAUAAAAUCUCAGUCAAUUAAUUUUUUCAUUAUCUUAGUAUUAUAUCAACAAAAAAGUGAAGUGUGUAUAUAUAUCUAUACACGUGCAUAUGUGCAUACUAUGUAUUAUAUAAAUACAUAUACAUUAAAUCAAAAUGCAAGGAAAUACCUUUCUGAAUCAUAAUCUAUAUCAUUUUCUUUUUUUCCUUCUUCAUCUUCUUCAGGGAAACGUCUAUUCAUUAAGGCAAACUUGUGAAUUGCUUCUUCCACAGAGUACUUAGUCUGCCCAGAAACACACGCCUCAAUGUCUUCUGAAUUCAGAUGGCUCUGUAAGAAGAGGUGAAGGCUGCUAUCUGAAAGCAAAAGUGCAUUCUGUAGGACUCUAUAUUAAAAAAAAAAGGAAAAAUAAUUGGUGAACAGGAUGGUCAGUGAUAGGGUAGAAGAAAGAAAAACAUUAGAAAAGUACCACUGAAGAUUAAGAGAAGAGUUAUAGAGCAACAAUCCAUUAAUACGAACUUGGAUCGUGAAGUCUGUGAAGUCUGAGCAGAGUGUUUCCUGUGGCCUCUGUCAGCGGUUUCCUGCCUGCCAUAAGUACAAGGAACUGUUCAUGGGAUUGUACUCGUGGCUUUGUUUCUGUUGGAAAUGUGUUUUAUUUUCUUUAUAAAAUAAUGGGUAAUCUUUAAAAUUGAUUUUAGAUGGUUUGAGGCAUUACACCACAACAGUAAUGAGCACUAAUGCCAAUGAUAUUGGACACAAAUUCAUUUUAGCUUUAUUUCAUGUCUGAAGCAAUUCUACUGAGCCUUGAACUGCUCACGUGUUGUUAUUAACUUGCUAGUAACUUAACACAUGGGUACAGCAAACAAAAGUGAUCAGAGUCCAGGUUGAUCGGGACCUCAAGGCUACUGUCCUUUUUCUUGAGCUAUAAUUCAAUUUCCAAUUUUACUGUACAUUAGACUCAUUAUUUCCCAGCGUUUUCUUUUUCUGCUCAAUACUGCCAUCUGGAGGACACACAGAUGAAAAGAGAAGGAGCCAGGCUCACCCAGCUCACAAUUCCAAAGAGCCAGAAAGAUGUGGCUGGGGAGGGGACAUCUGAACACUCCCCCAGGCCUAGAGUUCAAACCAGUGAGUCGGCUAGGUACAGUUUUGGUUUUUGGAAUCUCCUCUGUUUCUCUGGCUAAAUUCAUGCCACCAUACUCCAUGAGUUUUAAAUAAGCAAAAAUAAUUUUUAAAUGUAUUUAUAUGCUUAUUUUAGUCAGAUAGUUCAUUCUGAAAUUUAAAAUGAAAAUUUUUGAGAGUGUUUUCCCAUCUGGUUAGGUGAGCAUAAUUAAUUUAUUUUGAGUACUAUUUGGCUUACUAUCAGAGAGGGCUGUGACUGCCACCAUCAUAAUAUUAAAUACUAUUUUUUCCUUAGUCAUGUUUGUGCCAUAUUUUCCACAAACAAAUCUAAUAGCCCAAAAUCAAUUUCAAACCUAAUAUAAAGAGUACUUUGUAAAACAGUCAAUAAAAUGUCAUUUGUAGAAACCUCCAUUUAAAAAGUAUAUGAUUUUCAAACCUUUAUAAAAGGAAUAAAAAAUAGCCUCUAGGAUUUUAAAAGAAUUUCUAGAAA
rnacentral:lncRNA from 1 species